AAUAAGGUUACAAAAAUCUUUAUAAAUGAGCUUGGAGAUAUACCCCAAAUUUGAGAACCAACAGACAAACACAACAGCAGCAACAACAUAAAUUCAUCAAGAAAUUGAUUUCCCCCAAAUAGCAAAUUUGUUUAUUUUUGUGGUAAAGAUGCAAUUUUUUCUAAUAUCAAAGGGGGACAAUACAAAAACAAAACAAAGGUGGACACUUUUCAGAGACAUUGUUUCUUAAGGUACCCACCCACUUCACAAAAACAAGAACAAGAACAAGAAACAUAAGAAGAAGCUUAACGGUUGUGGUGCUUCGAAAAAAAGUCACAUUUAUUCAAUUCAACAUUGGGAAAUCUGAGACCCAAUUUCAAUUUCAAAUCAAAUACUCAAUCGAAAGGGUUACUUAUUAAUUCAAAGUUAUCUCAGCUUGUAUAUAUAUAUACAACUUUUUCUCUUAUGAGAUAGCUUCAGAGCUAUUAAAAGUUCAGAUCUUUAACCAAAUUUUCUCUUCAAUUUCAGGGGUCAUACAUAAAUAGAUUAAUAUGCGGGAUACCGAGAAGUUAAAUAAAAGAGGUUUUGCAAAAUCCAAUAACUCAAAGGAACAUAUUGAGUCAAAGGUAGAUUCAUUCGGAUUCAAAAAAAGUAGCACAAAAAAACGAGGGAAGAAACACAAGCUGACAUCAAAAUCUCAACAACUCAGAGGUUACACAAAUGCAUCGGGGAGAACCGCUACUAAUUCUUCCAUCAAGGCGCCAAGCAAGGAUCCUUCGAAUAAAAGAUUGAUUAUUAGACAAAAUCUACAUAAAACCGAUAAGAACUCUUCACAAGUUCAGCCUUCAAAAAAGAUACAAGGAGGACAGAUUUCUUAUAGUAGUUAUAGGAAAGGUGAGAAAGACGUUGAUCAGGUGAAAAAUACUCAAAAACGUAAGAGAAGGAGAAAGAAGAAAAGGCAAAGACAUAAUGUAGAUCUUGACGAUACUUCACGGCUUCAGAGAAGAACAAGGAAUCUCUUAAUCAGAAUGAAGCUUGAGCAAAACCUCAUUGAUGCUUACUCUGGAGAAGGUUGGAAAGGUCAGAGUCGAGAGAAGAUUAGGCCAGAAAUGGAGCUACAAAGAGCAAAGAAGCAGAUUUUAAAAUGCAAGCUUAGUAUCCGCGAUGCCAUUCGCCAGCUGGAUUCUCUUAGUUCAGUUGGUAGCAUUGAAGGUUCUGUCAUUGCUAAUGAUGGAUCUGUUUAUCAUGAACAUAUAUUCUGUGCGAAUUGCAAGAUGCGUGAAGCUUUUCCAGAUAAUGAUAUUAUACUAUGUGAUGGCUCAUGCAAUCGUGCUUUUCACCAGAAAUGUCUUGAUCCUCCUUUGGAUACCGAAAACAUUCCUCCUGGAGACCAAGGCUGGUUUUGCAAGUUUUGUGAAUGCAAGAUAGAAAUACUUGAGGCAACAAAUGCUCAUCUCGGGACUCGUUUCUCCUUAGACAGUACUUGGCAGGAUGUAUUCAAGGAAGAGGCUGCUAUUCCUGAUGGCGAUACUGCAUUACUAAAUCAAGAAGAAGAAUGGCCCUCAGAUGAUCCUGAAGACGAUGACUAUAAUCCAGAGAGGAAAGAUGACAACCACGGCAUCGACACAGAAGGAAACAAUGAUAAUGUAUCUGAUAAUUCGAGUAGUUCUUCCAGUAUGUGGUCUUUAAAUGAGGAAUGUUCUUUGUUAGAUGAAGGCAUCAACCUUGAAUAUUAUUCUGGCAAUGGCCACAUAGAUUCUGAUGAAUCCGGGGAAAUAGCAUGCGGUCAUAGGCAGCGUAAAGCUGUUGACUACAAGAAACUUUAUGAUGAAAUGUUUGGAAAGGAUGCUACUCUGCAUGAACAAGUGAGCGAAGACGAAGAUUGGGGUCCUGGAAAAAGAAGGCGAAGAGAAAAGGAGUCCGAUGCGGUUAAUACUCUUAUGACUCUACAUGAGAGUAAAAAUAAACGUCCAAAUAACGAGAACAAUGAUAGAAUAAGAGAGGAUUCUUCAGGCAUACCAAUAAAAAGACCUUGUUUCAGGCUUCCACAUGAAGCAGUUGAGAAGCUUCGCCAUGUUUUCGCAGAGAAUGAGCUUCCUCCAAGAUCUGUGAAAGAAUCCCUUUCGAAAGAGUUGGGAAUUGAUGUUGCAAAGGUUAGCAAAUGGUUCAAAAAUGCACGUUACAUGGCACUUAAAACGAGAAAGAAAUUCAUAAAUUGUUUUGUUCUUGGAAUUUGCACUAUACUCUCUGACACGAGUGGAAUUUGUUCAGCAUCAAGAAGGUGGAGAAGAGCUACAAAAUUUCACCUCUAAGACCACAAAGGAUUCUACAUCACAACAUGUGGAGAAAGAUGAGAUUUUGAAACCGAAGGUCUCAAAAAUUACCGUAAUUCGUUCCGUGAAGAAUAGUGAAAAUGUUGCUUGCAAAGAGAAAACAAAGGCAUCUAGCAGUCCUUUGAAGAAAAAGCGACGAGAAAUUCCUCUACCUUUGAGAGAAAAUGGCAACAAGGACUCCAAUGAGGUGAGUGAUGAUGUUAGCUUGAUGAAACUGUUGAAAGAAAGGAAAAAGAAAGUAAGUUUUGCAUUUGAAGGAGACUCUGAGGCAGCAGAGUUGGAAUUUGAAAGACUGAGCAAAGUGAAGAUGAAAUUAGAUAGAUUGAAGCAAAAAAUAACUCAAGUUCAAAAUUACAAUUCAAAGGGUUCAAAUGAACUUUAUGUGAAUGAGCCAUCUAUUAUUUAUGUACCUACAGCUGAGUUAAGGGAAAAGGUUAAAUAGAAAACUAUAUAUAGAAUUUGUAUUUUAUUUUUUAACAUUUUUGCACAUCAGAGUAAGACAUUAAUUAAUAUAUAGCUGUUAGUUUUAUAUUUACCAGCCUUACCUUGUAGAAUUAAAUGAAGUAACCGUUUUGAAGUUAUA